rnacentral:rRNA from 1 species
UACGUAGGGUGCGAGCGUUAAUCGGAAUUACUGGGCGUAAAGCGUGCGCAGGCGGUUUUGUAAGUCAGAUGUGAAAUCCCCGGGCUUAACCUGGGAAUGGCAUUUGGGACUGCAAGGCUUGAGUGCGGCAGAGGAGACUGGAAUUCCUGGUGUAGCAGUGAAAUGCGUAGAUAUCUGGAGGAACACCGGUGGCGAAGGCGGCAUCCUGGACCGGCAUUGACGCUGAGGCGCGAAAGCCAGGGGAGCAAACGGG